GCCAUUCUUUGGUCGACGUCAAGUAAUAAAGUUACGAAUUUGUGCUCCCGAUUGCUUUCCCUAUAGCCUACUUAGCCUAUCUUUCGGUCCGACUUUUUCUCUGUUUGUCAGAACAUUGCAGCAACUAAAAUGUGACCUCUCAGCUGCAGACGUGGAGCCAAUCCCUGAAGCCAUUUCCAUCAUCAGCUGCGACCUGAUUGGAGAAUCGGAUAACUGAGGCAUCUCCAACCCCCCUUGGCUCUGACUGACAAGGCCGGGAGACGU